UACGUAGGGUGCGAGCGUUAAUCGGAAUUACUGGGCGUAAAGCGUGCGCAGGCGGAUUUUUAAGCCAGGUGUGAAAUCCCCGGGCUUAACCUGGGAAUGGCAUUUGGGACUGCAAGGCUUGAGUGCGGCAGAGGAGAGUGGAAUUCCCGGUGUAGCAGUGAAAUGCGUAGAUAUCGGGAGGAAUACCGAUGGCGAAGGCAGGUCUCUGGGCUGACACUGACGCUGAGGCACGAAAGCGUGGGGAGCAAACAGG
rnacentral:rRNA from 1 species